rfam:Camelus ferus unplaced genomic scaffold scaffold995, whole genome shotgun sequence.
GGAGGAUACAGCUCAGUGGUGGAGCACGUGCUUAGCAUGCACAAGGUCCUGGGUUCAACCCCCAGUACCUCCA